CACGUGUUUGCACUAAGUAAAGCUCCUCUACCCAACUAGAUAGGACAUGUUACAUUUUGCAGCUGCGUCUCUCAAACAGCACCAACUGAGUAUUAAUAUAUUUGUUUCCACAGAGUAUGGUGACUAUAUGACUAUUAUUGUCAUAACUUGGCUCGGAUUAGAGUUGUUUCUUCGACGCAGAUGAUGAUUAGCACGAGGAAGACGUGACUGGGUCAGAGAAGGUCGACUGAGGUGGGGCCCAGCCAGAACCAGUGUUAGUAAACAGUAGAGACCGAGGGAAGUGCCUCAUCCGACACAUAUUUUAGGGUUUACACAGUCCGGCGAGCAAGAAGUAUCCCUUCUGCACGGCCCUCACACACACACACACACACACACACACACACACACACACACACACACACACACACACACACACACACACACACACACACACACGCACACACACAAACACACGCACACACGCACACACACUUGCUGCAGAGUCUCAAACAUUAGCAGUAAACACUAGGGCCCCUCACAAGAUGCUUUGCAAAUAUUUACAAGCUGGCAGGCGUGGAGGAGAGAAAAAGACAGAAAGCCAAGCAGUGAUGGUUGAGUUGGACCAACAUGGGCUCAGCCUCACAUCGCCUCCAUCUCUUCAGCGAGAAAACAACAACACCUUUUUCAGCGACCGUGUGCGGCGUCUUACCCCGAGUCACCCCUGUGGCAUUUACUUUCCUUCUUGGAAAAUAAAUAAACCGAAGUCUUGUAAGUUUGUCAGCUAAUCGCAAUAAGACCAGGCGGUGGUGAGAUGUAAUUAGUUCAAUUUCAUCAAUUUCCAGUGUAUCCGUAAAGUAUUCACAACGCUUUAAUUGCUGCGAAAGGUGCAUCAACAAAGUCUUGAGCAAAGGCUGUGAGUACUUAUCCAUCCAUCCAUUUUCUACCGCUUAAUCCCUUUUUUGAGAUCGCGGGGGGCACUGGCGCCUAUCUCAGCUACAAUCGGGCGGAAGGCGGGGUACACCCUGGACAAGUCGCCACCUCAUCGCAGGGCCAACACAGAUAGACAAACAACAUUCACACUCACACACUAGGGCCAAUUUAGUGUUGCCAAUCAACCUAUCCCCAGGUGCAUGUCUUUGGAAGUGGGAGGAAGCCGGAGUACCCGGAGGGAACCCACGCAUUCACGGGGAGAACAUGCAAACUCCACACAGAAAGAUCCCGAGCCUGGAUUUGAACCCAGGACUACAGGACCUUCGUAUCGUGAGGCAGACGCACUAACCCCUCUGCCACCGUGAAGCCAACAGCCCUUCGUCAUCACCUGGUUUCGAGCUGUGUGUCUCCUCUCCCUGGAUCCCCUCUGGACUUCAUGCUGCCUUCCUGGAUCUCGACCUCACACCUGCCCACAGACAACGACAUCACGUUCCAUCCCCAGACCUCCUGCCUGUCCCUGGACCUCCCAGCCUGCCUUGCCCUUUCUGGACUUCUGCACCGAUCUCAACACGCACCUUCAACACCACCCAGUAACAAUCCACAUAUAAUCGCUACACAUAGUCACACCGUAGACAUUUGGAUUAGUCACACACUUCAUUUAUAUAUUUCAAUUAACAUGCUGCAAACUAACGACGCCCCUGCCUCCGGGCCGUCUCUUUCUCCCACUGUAAUGUUACAGACGGACAAUAAAAAACUGAUGCAUUUCUAAAA